CUAUAUGCAAAUUUCCUGUAAUCUUAUUUGCAGUCUCAGUCCUAUUCUGUUUCGUUUCCUUUGUAUUAUGUAUUGUGGCUGAGAUCCUCAGGAAUAAGGAAGAUGAGAUCAGAUGGAACGGAAGGCUGUGUCAUGCACCAGUAAGUCCUUCAUAUUGGUUGGGAAUUGCAGCUUUGGGUUGCUUGGCUGCAUCUCAGCUUCUGGCAAAUUUCAUAUUCUUCAAUCAUUCUUCAAAAUUAGGCAGAGCUGAGAAUCCUGAGUUUAACGUACCUCUUGUUGCCAAGCUUCUGGUUUUGAUCUCCUGGGUGGGCUGUUUGGUUGCAAUAAUAAUAUUAACAGUGGCGAUAAGCAUGAGUGGGGAGCAGAAUUACGGAGAAGGAUGGUUGGAAGGGGACUGUUACGUCGUCAAACCUGGCUGUUUUGCUGGCUCUUCCAU